rnacentral:tRNA from 7 species
GGGGGUAUAGCUCAGUUGGGAGAGCACCUGCCUUGCAAGCAGGGGGUCAAGGGUUCGAAUCCCUUUAUCUCCACGA